CUGAGUCAGCCCAGAUGGGAGGAAAGCAGAGACCUCACUCACCCAAUGUCCAACCUCUCCAUGGCCUGGAACUAGUGGAGGAUGAAGCUUGUGAGUGCAGUUCAGACACACCCACGGUACCCCCUGUCCCACUGCACAUCCAUACCCAGAAAUUUCAAUCAGAGCCCCGGAGUACAGACAGCACUGCCCAGGGGCCUGGGUUCUGAGUGGUGAAGACCAUCUUCCCUGGUUGGUGAAACUCCCAGGGAAGCAUCUAUGCCAGCUGAAAAUUUUCAAGAGAACUUGUCUUAAGGCAGUGUGGUCUUGGCUCAUGUACCUGAUAGGGACUACUACGUACAUGUGACAGAACCCUGAACCAGCAAACCGAAGUUAAUAUAAAAGGAAGAAAGAAACAUGGUUCCUGGCCAGCAGUUUCAUACAUGUGUGGGGCUGUUUCCAAGAGGCAGUGGAGUAAAGAUGAAGGUAAACCCGACAAGAACAUCUGGGAGCCUGGAGGAGUGCC